AAAAAGAGUUUUUGGUUAUAUAUUCAUUCAUUCGUUUAUCUUCUGUACCUGCUUAUUUCAAUUAAGGGUCAGGAGGGAGCUGGAGCCUAUCCCAGCAGUCACUGAGCAAGAG